GGGCUGGGGCUCAGCGGCACAGCACUCGCCUAGCACAUGUGAGGCUUUGGGUUCGAUCCCCAGCACCACA
rnacentral:tRNA from 1 species